rnacentral:rRNA from 1 species
UUGUCCGGAAUCAUUGGGCGUAAAGCGCGCGUAGGCGGCCCGGUAAGUCCGCUGUAAAAGUCCAGGGCUCAACCCUGGAAAGCCGGUGGAUACUGUCGGGCUAGAGUCCGGAAGAGGCGAGUGGAAUUCCUGGUGUAGUGGUGGAAUGCGCAGAUAUCAGGAGGAACACCGAUGGCGAAGGCAGCUCGCUGGGACGGUACUGACGCUGAGGCGCGAAAGCGUGGGGAGCGAACAGG